GGAAGCGUGCCUGAAAGACAAGGAUCUCCUUGAUAGGGAGAACUAUAUGGGUUCAAACCCCUUCACUUCCU
rnacentral:tRNA from 1 species